rnacentral:rRNA from 1 species
AAAAGUGAAAGACGGUCUUGCUGUCACUUAUAGAUGGAUCCGCGCUGCAUUAGCUAGUUGGUAAGGUAACGGCUUACCAAGGCAACGAUGCAUAGCCGACCUGAGAGGGUGAUCGGCCACACUGGAACUGAGACACGGUCCAGACUCCUACGGGAGGCAGCAGUAGGGAAUCUUCCGCAAUGGGCGAAAGCCUGACGGAGCAACGCCGCGUGAGUGAUGAAGGUCUUCGGAUCGUAAAACUCUGUUAUUAGGGAAGAACAUAUGUGUAAGUAACUGUGCACAUCUUGACGGUACCUAAUCAGAAAGCCACGGCUAACUACGUGCCAGCAGCCGCGGUAAUACGUAGGUGGCAAGCGUUAUCCGGAAUUAUUGGGCGUAAAGCGCGCGUAGGCGGUUUUUUAAGUCUGAUGUGAAAGCCCACGGCUCAACCGUGGAGGGUCAUUGGAAACUGGAAAACUUGAGUGCAGAAGAGGAAAGUGGAAUUCCAUGUGUAGCGGUGAAAUGCGCAGAGAUAUGGAGGAACACCAGUGGCGAAGGCGACUUUCUGGUCUGUAACUGACGCUGAUGUGCGAAAGCGUGGGGAUCAAACAGGAUUAGAUACCCUGGUAGUCCACGCCGUAAACGAUGAGUGCUAAGUGUUAGGGGGUUUCCGCCCCUUAGUGCUGCAGCUAACGCAUUAAGCACUCCGCCUGGGGAGUACGACCGCAAGGUUGAAA